rnacentral:rRNA from 1 species
AACGAACGCUGGCGGCAUGCCUAACACAUGCAAGUCGAACGAGAUCUUCGGGUCUAGUGGCGCACGGGUGCGUAACGCGUGGGAAUCUGCCCUUUGGUUCGGAAUAACAGUUGGAAACGACUGCUAAUACCGGAUGAUGACGAAAGUCCAAAGAUUUAUCGCCAGAGGAUUAGCCCGCGUAGGAUUAGCUCGUUGGUGUGGUAAAGGCGCACCAAGGCGACGAUCCUUAGCUAGUCUGAGAGGAUGAUCAGCCACACUGGGACUGAAACACGGCCCAGACUCCUACGGGAGGCAGCAGUGGGGAAUAUUGGACAAUGGGCGAAAGCCUGAUCCAGCAAUGCCGCGUGAGUGAUGAAGGCCUUAGGGUUGUAAAGCUCUUAUACCCGGGAUGAUAAUGACAGUACCGGGAGAAUAAGCUCCGGCUAACUCCGUGCCAGCCGCCGCCGUAA